rnacentral:rRNA from 1 species
UACGGAGGGUGCGAGCGUUAUCCGGAUUCACUGGGUUUAAAGGGUGCGUAGGUGGGUCUGUAAGUCAGUGGUGAAAUCUCCGGGCUUAACCUGGAAACUGCCAUUGAUACUAUAGGUCUUGAAUUUUCUGGAGGUAAGCGGAAUAUGUCAUGUAGCGGUGAAAUGCUUAGAUAUGACAUAGAACACCAAUUGCGAAGGCAGCUUGCUACAGGAAAUAUUGACACUGAGGCACGAAAGCGUGGGGGAGCAAACAGG